AGGGAAAUGCAAGGUAAGAUCUGAUAUCUUGUCAGCUAAUGGUUCCCUGCUGUAAGGGGGAUCUCGCUCAAAAAACUCAAAUAGCAAGCAACCUUGGGAUUUCAUAGAUUCACCUUCAUCGCUAGAAAAGUCCUCUUGGUGGGCAAUAAGUUGAUCUCUCAAAGACAUUCUAUCCAUUCUAAGAGGAACAUCAUUUAGUAAAUGAUAAUGAUUCCAUUGUUCCCUUGAGCCCUUCAGUCCUCUUUCAGGUUCACUAUCAAAGCUACCAUCACUACUUGAAUCCCUGAAAUCACUGUCACUGUCCUCGCCCAGUCUCCUCGAUUUCACACACUUCUUCGUAGACUCUCCAUAUAUUUGAAUCCCGGACAGAUAUGGGACAUAAUACUGAACAACAGAAUCGCUGUCAUUCAAAAUUACCGGCACUCCUGCACCGUAAGCACUCCAUUCCUUAAAAGACUCCCACAAAUCCCCAAGUACAAAGUAUGGCUGAAAUUCCACAUCACAAGUCCUGCGGCCCCGCAUUGUGGUCUUAGAUAAGUACUGAGCAGGCACAGAUGGAGUUAUAGACUCCAAAAACCGCUCUAAAUUACUCAACGGAGAAACGACAGGUUCUAAGGCCGGAACUGAAACCGGUUUGGGAGAUUCCUCCAAAGCAGUCCGGUUCUCGGGUUCCCUGUUCGCCGGUUUUUCCACUUUUUCCUUGACCGAAGGCGAUUGAGUCGCGGUAACAUCGCUCUGCGCUCUGCGCAGUUGAUCAUUAUGUUGAUUCUGGUUUACCCUCCAAGCCUUCGCCGAGUGGUAAAACCGAUUCUCCCCACGACCUCUCGUAGUAAACUGCAAUCCAGCCCCCAACAUUUCUACACCUAAAUCCCCCAAAUUAUUAAAAAGGAAAAAGCAAGGGGUGGGGGGGCACCUAAAUCCUAAAAUUAAAUUCUUCUACUCCGGUUCAAUCCUCUGAAAGUCAAGAUUCAAAGUCAACGAAAUGAAAUGCAAGUGAUUAGUGGAUUGACAAUUCACGACGGAAACUAACUAUUACGAAACGAUAAUGAACGAUUUCUGUUCAGUGUAUAAGGAAACGAUCGGUUGGUGAAAUAGAGAAUCGGAUCAGAGAAGACGAUUGCAGAGGAUUGUGAUAUUAAAACCCUUAAUAGAGACGAUGGAUCUAGUGCGGAAAGAAAGAAGGUGCAAAAUAGUAAAUAAGAAGACAGAUAGAGAGAUUUAUGAAGACAAACAAAGCGAUGCCAGGAGAGAAGGAAAAACACAGCAGGGCUGUGUAUAAAAAUG
rnacentral:misc_RNA from 1 species